GAUGAACGCUAGCGGCAGGCCUAACACAUGCAAGUCGAGGGAGGAGCCUUCGGGCUUCGACCGGCGUACGGGUGCGUAACGCGUAUACAAUCUGCCUUUCACAUAGGGAUAGCCCGAAGAAAUUUGGAUUAAUACCUAAUGGUAUAUAGAUGUGGCAUCACCUUUAUAUUAAAGCUGAGGCGGUGAAAGAUGAGUAUGCGUUCUAUUAGCUAGUUGGAGAGGUAACGGCUCCCCAAGGCGACGAUAGAUAGGGGUUCUGAGAGGGAUAUCCCCCACACUGGUACUGAGAUACGGACCAGACUCCUACAGGAGGCAGCAGUGAGGAAUAUUGGACAAUGGUCGGAAGACUGAUCCAGCCAUGCCGCGUGCAGGAAGACGGCCUUAUGGGUUGUAAACUGCUUUUGCAGGGGAAGAAUAAGGACUACGCGUAGUUUGAUGACGGUACUCUGCGAAUAAGCAUCGGCUAACUCCGUG
rnacentral:rRNA from 1 species